CGAUUCCUUUGUUGUAGUAGGUGCUCUCAUUUCUUCCAUCUGGUGACUCAUGUCUUUAAGUUCUAAAAACUUUGUGUGUGUGUGUGUGGUUUUUUGUUUUGUUUUGUUUUGUUGGUAUUUUUUUUCCUACUUCCCUCAGUCUUCUCUCUCAUGCUUUCUGGCAUGUCUGUGUUAGAUGUAGGUCAUCUAGUGCUUAUCCUCUAAUUUUUUUUGGUUUUCCACUUUCUUUCUUGACUUUUUGGUCUGCUUUCUGGGUGACAUUCAGCUCUUUUUUCCAUCACAGUUCUUAUUUGUUCUUAUCUUGCUGUCUUUUUUUAAUAGCAUCUUAUUUCAUUGAUAGAGUAUUUUUUUUUCUUUAUGAAGCAUCAGACGAAAGCACAUGAAAGAGAAUACAGUACAUGGAAUACAAUAAGACAUUUAAGAAUGCAUGUACAUUCAGUACUCCUUUCUUAGAAAGAAAAGAUAACACAGAUGGGCAUAUAUACACUUUUUUUUUUUUUUUUUGUUCUUCCACUGUCAUUGUAUAGGACUUCAGGAUGGAACUGGAAUAAACACAUGUGUUCUGUCUCCAUGUUUUUGUUUUCUGCCUCUUUCUUUCUAUGUACAACUCCUUGUCAUCCUUUAAGACAGUUCGGAUGUUUAUUUCCUUCAGGAUACUUUUUCCAGUCCUCUCUCCUAAGGCCAGUUUUAGUAUAAGAUAGUAUAUGUUUCCUUUCUAUUUUCCUCGAGUGCCUAUGAGGUAGUAGUGGUGGUGGUUAAAAGUGUAUGCUUUGGACAGAGACAAAUCUAGGCUUAGAUCCUGGGUCCAGUAUAGAGCUCACUGUGGCAUGUAUGACCCUAGUAUAGUUAUUUAACCCGAGUAUGUACUGUAGAUAUAAUAAAGAUACUUCUAAUAGCAGUGUAAAAGUAUAUGAGAAUGCAAUUAAAGGACGUGGCACACAGUAAGAAUUGUCAGCCAUGAUUGUUAGCCUGUGAAUUCCUUGGUGGCUGCUACUGUGUAUCUCUAGUGUCCUUUAAACAUAGGAGACUGUUAAUAUGUGCUUUUAACACAUAAAUACUUGCUGUAUAAAUGAGCAAACCAGAAUUCCACAAAUAACCAUCAAAGAACUUGUGCUGUCUUUGUCUAUAAAUUAAAAACAACUCCACACACAUUUACAGGCUUUUAUAAGGGAUGUUGGAUGCACUGCUUGUGCGUGAAUUUAUUAGUGAUUCAGUGUUUAUCAAACAAUUUCUGGAGAUUGAUUUAGAGCCUUUGAUGGAAGAGGAAUGAUUGAUAGACUAAGGGUAAGCUGUUCUAAGCAUUGAAAAGAGUUCAAAAUGUUGUAGAGGUGUACUUAUUUGUCUGACCCUGGAAAUAUGCAAUGUCUAGUCUAUGGUUAUAUAGGCCUGUAAGUAGCAUUCUUACCAGGGAUGAAAGAGAAUGGUGGUAUAGAUUUAGUGAUUUAAAAAAAAAAAAAAAAAAAGCUAUGCAAUACUUUGAAUUUCUUUAGCACUGUGUGGUUGAUUUCUGCACAUUACUAGUAGAAUUUCACUUAUUGGUCCAUUCAACAAGCAAUUGAGUGUUGCCUUUGUGUCAGACAUUUUCCCGGUACUAGAGAUAGAGCAAAGAGUAAGAUAGUGUUGGCCCUUAAGAAUUACAGCUUUGAGUGUGUAUGUGUAUGUGUUAGGAGCAGCAACGUAGACACCAAAGAAGUAAAGCGGGAUGAUAGGUAAAGAAUAUCAGGUGGAGUGGGGAACUAGAUUCUUUUAGGCCCUUCUGAAGGCAGGGUUAGUCCCUGAACCCAGGUCUCCUGACUCAUGGUUUAGUGUUCUUUCAUAACAUGCUAGUCUUUUGAGUAGAAUUUUUAGCAGACCAAAGUAAGUUUACAUGGAGGGUUAGUGUGAAUGAAGCCAACUCAAACAUUUUCUUCGGUGGAUUCUGUGGCCUGCAGAUAGGACAUUAUUCUCGAAUUCCAUAUCACAUAAGCUACCAUUAUUGCUAUUUAUUCUUAAGACAGAAUGAUUUUAAGAAAUAGUAUAGUAAUCUUCACAUGACUGCUUCCUUCUCAGUUUACAUUAUUGUGGGGCUUUGGAAAAAUUCAGGGCCUCAAAAUAGACAACCUGAGUUUCCAGUUUAAUUUUAUAUACAUACAGCUUUAACUAUAUGAAGACGAGGAUCCAGUUAGUAGCUCCCAAGUGCUUGGGUGCAUGUUAAUGGAAUUUACUCCCCAUAGUUUGAGGCACACAGUAAAAGUCAAUAGCUUUUGGUCAUGAGUCAGUAAUAAUCUUCCAUUUUGUGAACACUGGAAUAUAUUUUCUACUUUAGUAGUUGCUCUAAACUUUUGAAUGAAGUUAGGAAUAUAUUUUUGAGAAACAUUUUCUUUGGUACCUUAACUGCCACCAUAGAAUAGGUCCCAACUUGAAGUCUGUGUAAUAAAUUAUGAUAAAUGUUUGUAAUGAAUACUUGUAAUGCCCAAGACCUUAGGCAAAAGAAACUAUAUAGGUAAAAAUUUUGUAAUCCUUAGUUGACACAGACUUAUGUAUCUCUGUGUCUGUUCUAAGCACCCUUUGUGAAUGAACAUGUUAUCUUUUUGGAGUACCUAAAUUUACAGAGGACCUAAUGCAACAGUCAUUUUGAAGCCUUUAAAAAUGAAUAGAACAUGUGUUUUUCCUUAUAGUGUGGGUAGGUGGUGAUGAGUGGCAUUCUUACUUUUUCCCAAGUUUGAUAACCCCUCUGAGAGGUGGACAGAGGAGUCGACAGAGCUAAGAGUGUCAGCUUUGUCCUUCCUGUGUUUAUUCCUGAUUCACCAUUAUAGCUGGACACUGACAGCUCGACAGCUCCAAGCAUCCCUCAGAGGAGCCACCCCCAGGUGGCUUUGAGCUGAGGACAGGCAUAUACAGUUCUUUCUCUCAAAUUCUCCCUUGUGAGGAGAGUGUGUGAAGGCUGCUAAGAGAAGCUAGUAGUUCAGUGGUUCUCAACAUUCUGUAGGCAUCAGAAUCAUCUAGAGAGCUUUAAAAAGCGUAGGCACCCCUGGGUUGCUCGGUUGGUUGGGCGUCAGACUCUUGAUUUCGGCUCAAGUCAUGACCUCAUCGUUCGUGGGAUUGAACCCCAUGUCAGGCUCUGCACUGUCAAGCGCAGACCCUGCUUGGGAUUCUCUCCCUAUCCCUCCCCGACUCGUGUGCAUGUGCGCGCUCUCCCUCCCUCCCCCUGCCCCCAAAACAAAUUAAUUUUAAAAAAUACAGAUACUUGGGUCCAGUGCCUGGAAUUUUAGAUUUAAUUUGUUGGGACGGUAUUUCUAUAAAAGUUUCCUGGAGCAGUCUAAUUGUGUAGCCAGAGUUCCAGUGGAAGUCCUACACAGGAAAGGGACUGGGGGAAUAGAGAAUGCCACCUGCAUUUAUGUGUGUGUCCCUAAAGUAGUACUCCUUCCCAAAUAAUGCCACCAUUCACCAUUUCCUGUGUAGUACAGGAGAUUAAAUUGCUCUGGAGUCAGUCUAUCUGAAAGCAUCAUAACCUUAAAAAUGGAGAUGAUAGUAUUUAAUUAAUAGAGUUGUUUUGAAGCUCAAAUAAAGUAAUGUGUUUGAAAUGCCUAGUGUGAUACCUGGCACACAGGAUAAGUGCACAUCUAAUUAGGACAUCUUUAUUAAAUAAUUUGUCAGCACGCAUGGGGUGUUGAAUAAUUAUUUCUAAAAAAUCUACAUUCAUAUAGAUUGCUCUUUAUCUGUGUGGUUCAUAUUUGUCAUUUUUAAUCACACCUGAAUAUUAAAUCUUGACCCUUCUUCAGUUGUAUAGCAUGUGGGUUAUUUCUCGUUUUCCACAAAUAAUUGCUAGAACUGACAAUUACGUGGAAGGAGGAGUUCUUUGAUUUUUUUGGAGUACAGUUGCUUAAAAAAAUGGAAUUACCAGCUCGUAUAGGUAUGGUCAAUAUUAUGAGGUUACUAUAAAGUGGAGGUAUCAUGUGAUAAACCAUUGAGGAUGUGUAGAUUUGCCAUUUGCCCACUUAACCAAGGUGACUGAAUAAGGGAAUGUUGUGCCUUGCCAAGAAGUACUUGAUGGACUAGAAAGUGAGGGAUUGUCAGGGAACAGGACAUGUUCUAGGCCUUAGAUUCAUAUAGCAAGAAAAGGUAUUCAGGGCUGAAAAACAGUUUACAUUUGUAGAGAACAAUUUUGGUACAGCAUUGAUGCUGUUUCAAGAAUGACAAUGAUCUAAUAUUUACCUUUCCUUUUUUAAAAAUAACAAUACGUAAGUAGAUAUUACAUUUGGCCAUUAGCCAAGUUGGUUUUGCAUUUAUAUAAGAAUAUGAAUAAUGGGCAUUGUCUUUAGACAUAAGUUUUUUCAGAGGUGUUUUUAUAUAGCUGAGUAAUUACUAACCUUUUUUCCCUUAAGUAGGGAUGGCAAGUGAGAGGUUAGAAUUGUUCUUAUGAAUACUCUCGAUAAAGGAACUUUAGAUGACUUCAUUUUAUAUGCAGAAGCUUUGCAGAAAUGAAGAUUAUCAGGAAGUAUAUUCCUGCCAGAAAUGUAAUGUCCAAGUUACUUAGUCUGCCACUUGGCUGAUGAGAUCAGACAAGCCUGGUAGGUGUUUAAAAAACAAAACAUACAUAUACAUAAUAAAUGUGUGUGUAUGUGUGUAUGUACAUGAGUUUAUAUAAGUUAUUACUUAUUUCUGAGGGACCAGGAUCUAUUCUUAAAGCUAGAUGUAAGUCAGAUUUUGGAGAAUAAUUAAAUACCAGUCUGUUCCUUCCUAGUUCUUUCUUGCCACGUGAAGUCAAUCAGCUUCAAAGCAAUCACCACUUCCACUCCAUACUAAUAACUCUUCUUUUGGUUUUUUUUUUUUUUUUUUUUUUUUUUUUUUU